AUGAAAAACCCAGCUGCAUUCAGACCCCCUGAACCACAGCGCACCUUGGCAGCCCCCACGUUGCCCUUUAUGGCCAGACCGUCUCCACGCAGCUCCCGUUCCCUGUAUCCCGCCCCAAAGGCCUCCACCAUUAGCGUGCCAGGGCAGGAAAGCCUGCUGCCAGUACACGCUGCCGGCGCAGCCCUGGGACCCUCGGCCUCUCCCCAGCGCAGCCGUGAACACCCCAUGCGGGCCCAAGCCCUGCCCCGGGGGAACCGGCAGCAGUUUCCAGCCCCGAGAGAGCCGCCGGGGCCCUCGCGGCUCCCGCAGGUGGCCUGGGCACCCCCAGGAGCUGCUGCUCUCCCUGGGCCCUUGAUGGGGGGCUCCGAAAGGGACCCCCAGUUCCAGGAGAAGCGAGCAGAACCUGGCAGCCCUUCACUGCCGCGGGGGUGCGGGUGGGGCAAAGACCCCCCCGAGCCCCCCCACGGGAGAUGUGUGUGCGUGGGGGUGGGGAUGAGCCCCCACCCCGAGCCCCUCCAUAGCCAAGGGUGUGUGUGUGUCGGGGGGGGGGGGGGGAAUGCGGCCUCCUCCCGAGCCCCUCCCGGCCGCCUGGGGGAGGAAGGGGGUACGAGACCCCCCCCCGCCCCGAGCCCCUCCGUGACCGGGAGGGAGAAGGCCGAGCCGCCCCCCAAGUCCCUCUAUAGCUCGGGGGAGGGGGGGGAAAGACCCCUCCCCCUUUCGCAGCCGGGGAGAGGCCUCCCCCGGGGCCCGUCCCGCCUGCCGGGGGCCGCGCAGGGCCUGUACGCCCCUUGGCCCUCUCCCCGACGCCGCCUCCCGGCCCGGCCCUCACCUCCUUUCGGCAUCGCGGCGGCGAUGGCGGCUCCGGCAGCUGCAGCAAGGCCCCCCCCCCCGUGGCCCCGAGUGGCGACCCGGAAGCGGAAGCCGCCCCACCCCCCGCACGCGGCGCGCGGCCCUCCGCGCCGCUCAGUCACCACGACCCCGGAGGCCCCCGCGGCGGGGCUGCCCUCGGCGCCGCCUCCCCCACGGGUCGCGCCGCCGCGCCAGGGCCAGCCGCGACCGGAGGGAACGAGGCUGCUUCCACUCCUGGCGGUCGCGCUCCCUGCCCUGCCCCAACCGAGGUGGAGGGGGGGGGUAACGGGGAGGGUUUUAUUCAGGCAUCGCGGCGGCCACCUCAGCGGGGGUGGUGCGCGGCGCCUGGCGGGAGGGCGGCCGGGGCGGGAAAGGCCCCGCGGGGUGACGUAA
rnacentral:lncRNA from 1 species